rnacentral:rRNA from 1 species
GACGAACGCUGGCGGCGUGCUUAACACAUGCAAGUCGAACGGAAAGGCCCUGCUUUUGUGGGGUGCUCGAGUGGCGAACGGGUGAGUAACACGUGAGUAACCUGCCCUUGUCUUUGGGAUAACUUCAGGAAACUGGGGCUAAUACCGGAUAUGAGCUCUUGCUGCAUGGUGGGGGUUGGAAAGUUUCGGCCGUUGGGGAUGGACUCGCUGGUUAUCAGCUUGUUGGUGUGGUAGUGGCUUACCAAGGCUUUGACGGGUAGCCGGCCUGAGAGGGGGACCGGCCACAUGGGGCCUGAGAUACGGCCCAGACUCCUACGGGAGGCAGCAGUGGGAAGUAUUGCACAGUGGGCGGACGCCUGAUGCAGCAGCGCCGCGUGCGGGAUGACGGCCUUCGGGUUGUAAACCGCUUUCGCCUGUGACGAAGCGUGAGUGACGGUAAUGGGUAAAGAAGCACCGGCUAACUACGUG